GAUCCUGGCUCAGGAUGAACGCUAGCUACAGGCUUAACACAUGCAAGUCGAGGGGCAGCAUGGUCUUAGCUUGCUAAGGCCGAUGGCGACCGGCGCACGGGUGAGUAACGCGUAUCCAACCUGCCUUACACUCUUGGACAGCCUUCUGAAAGGGAGAUUAAUACAAGAUGUUAUCAUGGGUAAGCAUUUUCGCAUGAUUAAAGGUUUACCGGUGUAAGAUGGGGAUGCGUUCCGAUUAG
rnacentral:rRNA from 1 species